rnacentral:rRNA from 1 species
UGGGGAAUUUUGGGCAAUGGGGGAGACCCUGACCCAGCGACGCCGCGUGAGGGAAGACGGCCUUCGGGUUGUAAACCUCUUUUGUACGGGAAGAUAAUGACGGUACUGUACGAAUAAGUCCCGGCUAACUACGUGCCAGCAGCCGCGGUAAUACGUAGGGGACGAGCGUUGUCCGGAAUUACUGGGCGUAAAGGGCGCGCAGGCUGCGUUACAAGUCAGCUGUUAAAAUCAUGGGCUUACCCCAUGAGUGCGGUUGAAACUGUAGUGCUCGAGUACUGUAGAGGCAAGCGGAAUUCCCAGUGUAGCGGUGAAAUGCGUAGAUAUUGGGAGGAACACCGGUGGCGUAGGCGGCUUGCUGGACAGUAACUGACGCUGAGGCGCGAAAGCCAGGGGAGCAAACGGG